UUUUGAGCGUCAGCAUCUAAGUCAGCAGUCAGCGCUUUGGAAAAUGGCAUCGCUAUGCAGUUGCACCCAAGUUGUGUCUAGCAGCAGCCAUAGAGUUGACUAGACGUCGACGCUCGGGAGACGCUAGUGUGGGGUCUUUCUAAGGGCCACCUAACAAUCCUAACACUAGCGUCUUUUUUGAGCUUCGGUGCCUUAACGGCCACCCCACACUAGCGUAUUUUGAGCGUCGGCGCCUAGUUGGUGUUAUGGAAAAUGACGUCGCUACGCAGUUGCGUCGAGCAGCAGCAAUAGAGUUGACUAGACGCCGACGCUCGGGAGACGCUAGUGUGAGGUGGCUCUAAGACCAAACGAGAUGCGUAACAUGCACGUCUUCGGUUCUCUGCAUAAGGCAUCACAUGCGCAGCGCACCGCAUUCGUUUACAAAUAAAAUAAUAAGACACCAAAUAGUAAAUAUAUGGGUAAUUAGUUUGAUCAAUGAUCAUGUGUUAUUGAAUGAGAUAAUGUUCAAGACGUUACACAAUAGGUUAGGGUCGAGUGCUCCAAGUCGUUUAACUUCCAAAUUACUUCUCUUAAUGUCCUAUUUGGUACCUAAAGAAAUUCCUUUGUUGUCUCUCAAUGUGCCAGUACUCUCCGAGGUACAUCUACUUAAUUCUCGCGCCGUGUUCCGAAUUCCCGGUCUUCAAAUUUUAAGUUCAACGUCUUUGAAAUGUCCAAGUUGCUGUUAGGGUAUCGUUUAAUUAAAAGAUCGAGCUUCAGGUCCUUUUAAUAAUUGUUUAGUAGGUAUUUAGCCGUAAUGCAUGAUAGUAAGUUUGUCUGGAAAUGAAAAGUUACCUAUGUAUUUAACCCUCGGGAAGAUUAAAUUCCAGACUAAACUGGAUUUCUAUGUUAUUAUACAAUACAAUACAUUUUAUUGCACACCGAACUUGUUCAAAUCAGAAAGAAGAGAAGGAUAGAAAUUACAACAGGCGAUCUUAUCGCUUAAGAGCGAUCUGAUCCAGAUAACCUGUGAGUAUCGGCGGAGACAUUAUAAUUUUAGAAUAUACUUAUACGGUAGGUGGUGCAAAGAAAGAUAUUAAAAGUAGAGUUAAAUAAAUAUAUAACCAAACAAUACAAAAUAUUAAUAUAAAUAAACAAAUGUACAUAAAUAAGUAUAAACGUACAUAAAAAUACAUGAAAAAAGUAUAUAUGUAUUAAAUAAAGAAACAACCAAUAGCCACCUUGUGAAACGCUAUCAUAGAUGACAUUAUAACUGUUAUACAUGUAUAACAUGUACCAUGCAUGCAAUAAUUCCGCUCUAUCGAACUCUAAGAAAUAGAUCAAACAAGAUUCGCUUACAGACAGGGGACCAGGUGUUUAGCCAACACGCUAAUCGUUAACGCUCCGCAGCGUAGCGUAGGUAGUCGUCUCUUUCUAUCACUCUACCAUAUUAGUGCGACAGAGACAUUGGCGUUUUGUUUGCUACGGAGCGUCGACGAUUGGCAUGUUGGCUAAGCACGCAGUAAAACUAAGUAUAAGCUUGUAAAAAAUCAGUCGAGAGACGCGAAGGCUAUCGACCCGGAGUUUGAGUGGCGUGUACUUGAUGAAAAUGCUCGUCUCCGGACGAUCCAUUACUUACACUGAGGCCUAAUUUCCGGAGAAGUGCGAAAAUAACUUAAGUUAACUUAUAUAUCUACGAGUAAAUAGAUUGUAUACGUGCACGAGUGGCGUGGGAGUUCUAGCACUUUACUACGUAGCGUCUUUAUUUGUAUUGUAGGUACACAUUACGUGCAUUAUCAUAUCAUAAGAAAAA